AUUGAACGCUGGCGGCAGGCCUAACACAUGCAAGUCGAACGAGUGGCGGACGGGUGAGUAAUGUCUGGGCAACUGCCUGAUGGAGGGGGAUAACUACUGGAAACGGUAGCUAAUACCGCAUACCAUCAGAUGUGCCCAGAUGGGAUUAGCUAGUUGGUGGGGUAACGGCUCACCAAGGCGACGAUACCUAGCUGGUCUGAGUGGAUGACCAGCCAAACUGGAACUGGGACCCGGUCCAGACUCCUACGGGAGGCAGCAGUGGUGAAUAUUGCACAAUGGGCGAAAGCCUGAUGCAGCCAUGCCGCGUGUAUGAAGAAGGCCUUCUGGUUGUAAAGUACUUUCAGCGGGGAGGCGUUACCCGCAGAAGAAGCACCGGCUAACUCCGUGCCAGCAGCCGCGGUAAUUC
rnacentral:rRNA from 1 species